UAUCUAAUUGAUAGGAAACUGAAACAAAAAGAGCUUAAAGGGCCUUGCUCAGGGUUAUGCAGUUAGGAAAUGGUCUCUCUGGCUCUAAGGUUCAUGGGCUCAUGAGCUCUAGGCUCCUUACUGAGCUGGACUGCUCCUUUGCAGUAAGACUAACGUUGGCAUUCAGGGCUGCAAGUUACAGCCUGGUAUCUCUUUUUGCUGCAGUAUAAGGAAAUGAUCUUAAAUAGUAAAAGUUCAGUCUGGGAAGGUGAAUUAACACUUGCUGAACAUCCAAGGCUGUUUUAAGGGUCCUACAAAUAAAGCUCUGAACUGAAGUCACGAGAAGGCUGUCUCUUCUCUUUCUGCCUCACAUCUCUGAUUCAUCCCAGUGGCUUAGUUUUAGUUUUUCCUCUCUCCCUUGUCUAGCUGUCAUGAUUCACUUGCUAAGUUCCCACUUAUAUUUGUGAGAUGGAUGCCAAGAAAUGAUACAACUAUGCUACAGUCAGGAGAACUGAAACCUGUGCAACUGUGAGAAUCAGGAGUGGAAUAGCCACCUGGGGGAGACUUUUUCUGUCCCUUGAAAAGGGAAUUUAUUCUUUCUCUUCUCUCCAGUGCUGAAACCCCUGGGGGUUUUUCUUUUGUGGUCAGUUACCAUCUCUGAAAUGGAAUUCAUGUGAUAAUAGUUGAGUUAUUCUGAAAGAGAAUCUGGACAUCAAAUGUAUAAUUUCUGCUUUUAAAAAAAAUUCUUUAUUAAGACAUUUUCCUAUUCAGUAUGUAACUUAUUACCCAAACUGGGAUACAUGAGCUGAAAUACUACCAUGACUCCAGGGCACUAGGCAUUAACUGGCACUAUUUCAAAUAAUCCUCUUGCUGUAGAAACCUUCCUAAAGAGAACAUUUCUGGGUCACGAAGCUACAUGUUUAAUUUUAGGUUGAUAUUUACAGAUUGUCUUGCAACUGAAGUCAUCUUCAUUGUGACCAGCAGCCUGUUGGCUUUCCAGUGCUGAGUAUUACUAAUUUUAAAAAUGUUUUGCUAGUAUAUAGGUGAAAAAG